CCCUUAGAUGUUCUGGGCCGCACGCGUGCUACACUGAGUAAUUCAAUGGGUAAGGGAACGCUAGAGCAUUACCUAAUCUUGAAAUUUGCUCGUGAUGGGGAUCGACGGUUGCAAUUUUCCGUCGUGAACGAGGAAUACCUUGUAGGCGCAUGUCAUCAUCAUGCGCCGAAUACGUCCCUGCCCUUUGUACACACCGCCCGUCGCUCCUACCGAUUGAGUGAUCCGGUGAGGCUCAGGGACCUGGACGGAAAGAGCGUUUCGCUUGUUCUGUUUGGGAAACUUGGUCGAACCUUAUCAUUUAGAGGAAGGAGAAGUCGUAACA
rnacentral:rRNA from 1 species